rnacentral:misc_RNA from 1 species
UCUCCGUUGGUGAACCAGCGGAGGGAUCAUUACCGAAGUUACCUUCAAAACCCACUGUGAACCUUACCUCUUGCCGCGUUGUCUCGGCGGGAGGCGGUGUGCGUCGCGCGCCCUAGCGGGCCGCGCCGCUCCCGUCCCCGCCGGCAGCGCCAAACUCUAAAUGCACAGCGAACUGUACGUUCUGAUUUACAAAAAAAACAAGUUAAAACUUUCGACAACGGAUCUCUUGGUUCUG